GACGAACCGUACGAACGUUAUUCGGAAUUACUGGGCUUAAAGGGUGCGUAGGCGGCGCAGUAAGUUGGGUGUGAAAUCCCUCGGCUUAACCGAGGAAUUGCGCCCAAAACUACUGUGCUCGAGGGAGAUAGAGGUGAGCGGAACUUAGGGUGGAGCGGUGAAAUGCGUUGAUAUCCUAAGGAACACCGGUGGCGAAAGCGGCUCACUGGGUCUUUUCUGACGCUGAGGGACGAAAGCUAGGGGAGCGAACGGG
rnacentral:rRNA from 1 species